rnacentral:rRNA from 1 species
CAAGCGCGUGCUAAGUGGGAAAGGAUGUGGAGUCGCAUAGACAGCCAGGAGGUUGGCUCAGAAGCAGCCAUCCUUGAAAGAGUGCGUAACAGCUCACUGGUCUAGUGGUUCCGCGCCGACAAUGUAGCGGGGCUCAAGCACGCCACCGAAGACGCGGACGUCAGCUUGUCUGGCGUGGUAGGAGAGCGUCCCUUGAGGGUCGAAGCCGCCGGGGAACCGUGUGGUGGACUUCAGGGGAGUGAGAAUGCAGACAUGAGUAGCGAGAGCAGGGUGAGGAUCCCUGCCGCUGGAUGACCAAGGGUUCCAGGGCCACGUUCGUCGUCCCUGGGUGAGUCGGGUCCUAAGGCGAGGCCGACAGGCGUAGUCGAAUGGAUGAACGGGUCGAUAUUCCCGUACCGGCCGCAUGACCGAUCAGCGGUCCCUUGACCGAUCGCGUGUUUCCAUCGGAUCCGUCCUUCCUUCGGGUUGGUCGGUGAUGUUCGGGUUCGCGCGUGGCGUCCUGGGGUCGAGCGCAUGGAGUGACGCGGACGGGUAGCCGGCCGGGGAGGUGGUUUUCCCUGGUCAAGCGUGCGGCCCCGCCCCCAGGCAAAUCCGGGGGCAGCAUGGGGCGAGGCGUGAUGAUGGGGGCCUUGAUGGCCCGAUAUCCGGUGAUCCCGUCGGCCGAGAAAAGCUUCGGCGCGAGGUGGGCGGCCGCCCGUACCCCAAACCGACACAGGUGGUCAGGUAGAGUAUACCGAAGCGAGCGAGCGAAUCCUGGUCAAGGAACUCGGCAAACCGCUCCCGUGCCUUCGGCAUAAGGGAGACCCCCCGCGGUGGGACGUCCUUGCGGCGUCGAGCGGUGGGGGGUGGCACAAGCCAGGGGGUAGCGACUGUUUACCAAAAACACAGGUGCAUGCCAAGACGCAAGUCGCCGUAUAUGCACUGACGCCUGCCCGGUGCCGGAAGGUUAAGAGGAUCCAUCAGCGCUUUGCGCGAAGUGGUGAAUUCAAGCCCCGGUAAACGGCGGUGGUAACUAUAACCAUCCUAAGGUAGCGAAAUUCCUUGUCGGGUAAGUUCCGACCUGCACGAAUGGCGUAACGACUUCCCCGCUGUCUCGACCAGGAGCUCGGCGAAAUUGCAGUACGAGUAAAGAUGCUCGUUAAGCGCAGAAGGACGAAAAGACCCCGGGACCUUUACUAUACCUUGGUAUUGGCAUCAGGUGCGGAUUGUGUAGCAUAGGCGGGAGACUGUGAGGCAUGCACGCCAGUGUGUGUGGAGUCGGCCGGUGAAAUACCGCUCUGUCCCCAUCUGAUGCCUAACCCGGACAAGUCAGCCUUGUCGGGGAGAGUGCCUGGCGGGUAGUUUAACUGGGGCGGUUGCCUCCCAAAGAGUAACGGAGGCGCUCAAAGGUCCGCUCGGCCCGGUUGGCAAUCGGGUGUCGAGUGUAAUCGCACAAGCGGGCUUGACUGCGAGAUCGACGGAUCGAGCAGGGACGAAAGUCGGAGAUAGUGAUCCGGUGCCGGCGUACGGACGCGGCAUCGCUCAACGGAUAAAAGGUACCCCGGGGAUAACAGGCUGAUCAUUCCCAAGAGUCCAUAUCGACGGGAUGGUUUGGCACCUCGAUGUCGGCUCGUCGCAUCCUGGGGCUGGAGCAGGUCCCAAGGGUUCGGCUGUUCGCCGAUUAAAGCGGCACGCGAGCUGGGUUCAGAACGUCGUGAGACAGUUUGGUCUCUAUCCUCUGCGCUCGUUGGAAUCCUGAGGAGGCCUGCCCAUAGUACGAGAGGACCUGGGUGGACGAACCUCUGGUAUGCCGGUUGUCGCGCCAGCGGCACGGCCGGUUGGCUACGUUCGGGAGGGAUAACCGCUGAAAGCAUCUAAGCGGGAAGCCCGCUCCAAGAUAAGGAUUCCUGACACCCCUCCGGGGGUGUGUGAGACCCCACAUGAGACCAUGUGGUCGAUAGACCGGACGUGGAAGCCCCGCAAGGGGUGGAGCCGACCGGCACUAACGGUCGAAGACGACCCCCA